rnacentral:rRNA from 1 species
GCUGAGCACUCCUACGGGAGGCAGCAGUGGGGAAUAUUGCACAAUGGGCGCAAGCCUGAUGCAGCCAUGCCGCGUGUAUGAAGAAGGCCUUCGGGUUGUAAAGUACUUUCAGCAGUGAGGAAGGUGGGUAUGUUAAUAGCAUAUUCAUUUGACGUUAGCUGCAGAAGAAGCACCGGCUAACUCCGUGCCAGCAGCCGCGGUAAUACGGAGGGUGCGAGCGUUAAUCGGAAUUACUGGGCGUAAAGCGCAUGCAGGUGGUUUGUUAAGUCAGAUGUGAAAGCCCGGGGCUCAACCUCGGAAUUGCAUUUGAAACUGGCAAACUAGAGUACUGUAGAGGGGGUAGAAUUUCAGGUGUAGCGGUGAAAUGCGUAGAGAUCUGAAGGAAUACCGGUGGCGAAGGCGGCCCCCUGGACAGAUACUGACACUCAGAUGCGAAAGCGUGGGGAGCAAACAGGAUUAGAUACCCUGGUAG